rfam:Brachypodium distachyon strain Bd21 chromosome 1, whole genome shotgun sequence.
GGAAUAUUCUCUCCGUCCAACAAAAGAUGUCUCAAGUUUGUCAAAAUUUGAAUGUAUCUACACAUGACUUAGUAUAUAGAUGCAUUCAAUUUACUUGAGACAUCCUUUGUUAGACGGAGGGAGUACGAU